CCUACGGGAGGCAGCAGGGAGGAAUAUUGGUCAAUGGACGAGAGUCUGAACCAGCCAAGUAGCGUGAAGGAUGACUGCCCUAUGGGUUGUAAACUUCUUUUAUAUGGGAAUAAAAUGUUCCACGUGUGGGAUUUUGUAUGUACCAUCUGAAUAAGGAUCGGCUAACUCCGUGCCAGCAGCCGCGGUAAUACGGAGGAUCCGAGCGGUAUCCGGAUUUAUUGGGUUUAAAGGGAGCGUAGGUGGAUUGUUAAGUCAGUUGUGAAAGUUUGCGGCUCAACCGUAAAAUUGCAGUUGAAACUGGCAGUCUUGAGUACAGUAGAGGUGGGCGGAAUUCGUGGUGUAGCGGUGAAAUGCUUAGAUAUCACGAAGAACUCCGAUUGCGAAGGCAGUUCACUGGACUGCAACUGACACUGAGGCUCGAAAGUGUGGGUAUCAAACAGGAUUAGAUACCCUUGUAGUC
rnacentral:rRNA from 1 species